ACGGAUUUCUUCGGAUUGAAGCCUUGGUGACUGAGCGGCGGACGGGUGAGUAACGCGUGGGUAACCUGCCUCAUACAGGGGGAUAACAGUUGGAAACGGCUGCUAAUACCGCAUAAGCGCACAGUACCGCAUGGUACGGUGUGAAAAACUCCGGUGGUAUGAGAUGGACCCGCGUCUGAUUAGGUAGUUGGUGGGGUAACGGCCUACCAAGCCGACGAUCAGUAGCCGACCUGAGAGGGUGACCGGCCACAUUGGGACUGAGACACGGCCCAAACUCCUACGGGAGGCAGCAGUGGGGAAUAUUGCACAAUGGGGGAAACCCUGAUGCAGCGACGCCGCGUGAGCGAUGAAGUAUUUCGGUAUGUAAAGCUCUAUCAGCAGGGAAGAAAAUGACGGUACCUGACUAAGAAGCCCCGGCUAACUACGUGCCAGCAGCCGCGGUAAUACGUAGGGGGCAAGCGUUAUCCGGAUUUACUGGGUGUAAAGGGAGCGUAGACGGCAUGGCAAGCCAGAUGUGAAAGCCCGGGGCUCAACCCCGGGACUGCAUUUGGAACUGUCAGGCUAGAGUGUCGGAGAGGAAAGCGGAAUUCCUAGUGUAGCGGUGAAAUGCGUAGAUAUUAGGAGGAAC
rnacentral:rRNA from 1 species